UAGCUCAGUGGUAGAGCGUGUGCUUAGCAUGCACAAGACCCUGCGUUCAAACCCCAG
rnacentral:tRNA from 1 species